UUUGACUUUGACACCAUUUCAUAAUUGUUUGGUUGAUAUAUUGAGCAAAGUAAACUUUUCUCAGCUUUUGCGUAAACCAACCUCUAGCAGAGAUGAAGAUAAAUACUGAAUAAAUAUAUUUGUAAUAAAAUAAUAAAGUACAAUGAUGAAGUAUGAGAAUGUCAAUCUCAUACUGUUGCGGAAAGGAUCGAUUCGAGAACUCCGAUAUGACUACAAGUAAAUUGACCGAAACGAAAAAUAAAGUGAACACAAGGAUUUACGUGGUUCGGCUUUAAUGCCUACGUCCACGGGCAGAGGCGAAAAGAAAUUUCACUAUAACAAGAUGAAGAUUACAAGUGUUUUACACUCAAGACACAACCCGAGAACCUCACAACUCUCAACCCCUAUAGAAAACCCGAAAGCUAAAAUCCUAGCUUUCAAAGAACAAGCUUUGCUCUCUCUUGGUUUGGGAUGAUGAAUAUGGCUAAUGAACCUCUCUAUUUAUAAGAGAGUUCAAGGACAUAAUUGUCCAAAACUUUGGCAAAGAUUUGUGGUUGAAAAUGGACACCAACAACCAUCCACUAAUCCACUACCACCAACAACCCACUACCAACAACAACAAUCCACUACCAAUUUUAAGCCAUUUCUUAACAAAUCUCCACCUUGGCUUGAAAUUUACCAAGCUGAACAUCAUAGUGAAUUCCUCGAACUGGAUCACCUCUUCCAAACGCCUCUCUGGCGCUUAAUCAAUCCCGAAUACCUAUCAAGUCCAAGCAAUGCUUGAACUUAUAUGCAGGGAUCACCUUAGUUAACAUAUCUGCAGGAUUCUUCUCGGUAGCAACCUUGCUGAUAACAAUGUCACCUUGCGUAACAUGUUCCCGAACAAAAUGAUAUCUGACAUCAAUGUGUUUGGUCCGUUCAUGAAACAUCUGAUUUUUAGUCAGAUGUAUGGCACUCUGGCUAUCGCAAAAUACAACAGUGAAAUCCUGUUGUAAACCCAAACUGCUUACUAGACCUUUCAUCCACAAUGCUUCUUUCACUGCUUCUGCUAACGCCAUAUAUUCCGCCUCAGUCGUAGAUAAGGCUACGGUAGACUGUAACACAGCUUUCCAACUAAUGGCUCCUCCAGAAUAAGUGAAAACAUAACCCGUCAGAGAUCUUCUUUUGUCCAGAUCUCCAGCAUAAUCAGAGUCCACAUAGCCCGUGACACUGCUAGUGCAGUCACUCUGAUCAUAUACCAAGCAUAAAUCUGCAGAACCUCUCAAGUACCUGAGAAUCCAUUUCACGGCCUGCCAGUGUUCCUUGCCAGGACAACUCAUGUAUCUGCUGACCACACUAACUGCAUGUGAAAUGUCUGGACGAGUGCAAACCAUUGCAUACAUCACGCUUCCAACUGCACUCGAGUAUGGAAUGUGAGACAUUUGCUGCUUUUCUUCAUCAGAUUGUGGUGACAACUCUGCAGAGAGUUUGAAAUGUGGUGCCAACGGAGUACUCACAGUUUUCGCUUUAUCCAUGCCGAAGCGUUGAAGAACCUUUUCAAUGUAGUUCUUCUGCGACACACGAAGCUUGCCCGCCUUGCGAUCUCUGUGAAUAUCCAUGCCCAAAAUUUUCUUGGCAGCACCCAGAUCCUUCAUCUCGAACUCACCACUCAACUGCGACUUUAACUUGUUGAUUUCCGACAUGUUUUUGGAAGCAAUUAACAUGUCAUCAACAUACAGCAACAAAUAAAUGUGCGAACCAUCUGAGAGCUUCCGAUGAUAGACACAAGCAUCAUAGUCACAUCUUGUGUAACCAUGCUGAAUCAUGAAGCUAUCAAACCGCUUGUACCACUGCCUUGGGGAUUGUUUCAAUCCAUAUAAAGACUUCUUUAAUAGACAGACAUGGUCUUCUUUACCAGGAACUGUAAAACCCUCUGGUUGACGCAUGUAGAUUGUUUCCUCGAGCUCACCAUGCAAGAACGCCGUUUUUACGUCAAGCUGCUCAAGUUCUAGAUCAGACUUGGCCACCAUGGCAAGUAAUACACGAAUGGAAGAAUGCUUUACGACUGGGGAGAAAACUUCAUUGUAGUCAAUCCCCUCUUUCUGAGUGAAGCCUUUAGCAACCAAUCGUGCCUUGAAUCUAGUUGCUUCAACCCCUAGGAUGCCUUCCUUUUUCUUGAAGACCCAUUUGCAACCAACUAUCUUCUGGUUACUUGGCGGCUUAACCAACUCCCAAGUAUGGUUCUUGUGAAGAGAUUCUAUCUCCUCACUCAUAGCAAUUGCCCACUGUGCCGACUCAUCACACGUGACAGCCUCAUUAUAACUGGAAGGUUCUAUACCAAUGGACUCCGCCACACUGAGCGCGAAAGACACCAGAUUAGCGUAACGCGGAUUUGGUUUGAUUUGUCUCUUCGUUCUUCCAGUGGCAAUGCUAUAUGGUUUUUCUUGAGGUGACUCAUCUUCAUCGGAAUCUUGCACCUCAACUUGAUCAUCCUGGACUGAAGUACCUUCCGUAGGAAUUGGAGCGUCCACCUGACACUCCACCUGCUUCUCAACACCGUGAUCUCCCAUUCUAUCUGACUCCUCCUUUUCCCGAGAAUUUGUGGUGGAUCGAAGCAUGGAUGACUCAUCAAAAGUCACAUCUCUGCUGAUGAUGAACUUGGACGAAACCGGAUCAGGACACCACAACCUGUAUCCUUUCACCCCUUGGCCGUAUCCAAGAAAUAUGCAUUUCUUCGCCCUCGGUUUGAGUUUUCCCUCAUUUACAUGAGCAUACGCAGGGCAGCCAAACACUCUUAAACCAGAGUAAUCAGCAGGAGAACCAGACCAUACUUCCUCAGGAGUCUUCAGCUCAAUAGCUGUUGACGGAGAUCUGUUAACCAAAUAACAAGCAGUAUUAACAGCUUCAGCCCAAAAUUCUUCACCGAGCCCAGCAUUUGAUCGCAUGCAACGAGCUCGCUCCAAGAGAGUUCUAUUCAUGCGUUCUGCAACUCCAUUUUGUUGUGGUGUUCGACGAACAGUGCGGUGUCUCACUAUUCCUUCAUUUUUGCAGAACUCAUUGAAUUCACCUGAGCAAAACUCCAAGCCAUUAUCCGUCCGGAAUCGCUUGAUCUUCUUUCCUGUUUGAUUUUCGAUCAAAGCUUUAAAUUGCUUGAAGUUGAUGAGAACCUCAUACUUGCUCUUCAGAAAAUACACCCAAACCUUUCUCGAGUAAUCAUCGAUAAAGGUAAGCAGAUAUCUGUAACCACCUUUAGAAAUUGUCGGAGAAGGCCCCCAAAGGUCAGAAUGGAAGUAAUCCACUGUGCCUUUUGUCUUGUGAAUCCCAGUGCUGAACUUUACCCGAGUCUGCUUACCGAAGACGCAGUGCUCACAGAAAUUCAACUUUCCUGUACACUGCCCAGACAAUAAUCCCCGUUUGCUUAGCACCGAUAAGCCUCUCUCGCUCAUAUGCCCGAGCCGCAUAUGCCAUAACUUCGUGGUGUCAGAAUCUAGAUCAUCUGAUGAUGACACUCCCGCAACACCUGUAACCGAGGAACCAUCGAGGAAGUAAAGGCCCCGCUCCAAAUUACCACGUAUCACAGUCAAAGCACCCGAGAAUACCUUGAGAACUCCACCUUCAGCAGAGUACCGAAAGCCUUUCUUGUCCAACGUACUCAAAGAGAUCAAAUUUUUCUUCAUUUCUGGAAUGUGCCGAACAUCAGUUAGAGUUCUAACAAUACCGUCAAACAUCUUUAUACGAACUGUGCCAAUCCCCAUGACUUGACAUGCGUGGUCAUUUCCCAUUAGUACUGAACCAGAAUGCUUCUCGUAUGUUGAGAAUGCAUCUUUCGAAGUACUUAUAUGAAAUGUAGCUCCCGUAUCAAGAAUCCAUCUCCCACCAGCGUAAGAGUCGGAUACUGCAAGAACGAUCUCGGCAUCACUUGAAGAAUCUGCAUCAGCUACAUUCGCACGAUCAUUUUGUUGCUCCUGUGAUUCUGAUUUCUCCUUCCUUUUCGGACAAUCUACCUUCAUGUGCCCGUACUUCUUACAGUAGUAGCACUGUAUUCUCUUCUUGGACUGCGAUCUAGGAUGGCUUUUACUUGAACUUCCACCCUUUGCCUUGGAUCUUCCUCGAGCAACCAAGCCUUCGCCUUCAUUGUUUUCGACCACCUUACCAGUGAUUUUCUUCCUCAACUCACUGGAACUUAAGGCAUUUUUCACCUCCUCUAGAGUCAGGUCAUCACGACCGUACAUCAUUGUAUCAACAAAAUUCUCAUACGAGGGAGGCAAAGAACACAAAACAAUUAUUGCUUGGUCCUCAUCAUCGAUUUUGUUAUCGAUAUUAUUCAAAUCCAUGAUAAUGGAAUUGAAUUUAUCCAGGUGCUGGGAAACAGGUGUACCUUCCUCCAUCUUCAGGGCAUAGAGUCUUUGCUUGAGGUAGAGCCGGUUCGUCAAUGACUUCGUCAUGUACUUGCUCUCUAACCGGAGCCACAAACCGGACGCGGUUUUCUCAUCCGCUACUUCUCGUAGCACUUCAUCUCCUAGACAUAGCAGAAUAGCACUAUGUGCUCUUUCUAGCAUGUCAUCCUUUUGCUCUUCCGAAAGCGUGCUUGGUAAUUUAUCUUUACCAGACAAUGCUUUUAGCAAUCCUUGUUGAACCAGCACUGCCCGCAUCUUGAUGCGCCAUAAACUGAAACUAUUUUUCCCGGUAAAUUUCUCGACAUCAUACUUAGUCGAUGAAACACUUGUAGCCAUAAUUUGGAACCUUUGAAUGAAUGAUAAUAUUUUCUUCCUGAUGUGAAAGAUCAGACAAAGCUGCAGUCACAGGGCAAUUCAGAAAAUAUUAUCACUCCUUCAACUACGCUCUGAUACCAAUUUGUUGCGGAAAGGAUCGAUUCGAGAACUCCGAUAUGACUACAAGUAAAUUGACCGAAACGAAAAAUAAAGUGAACACAAGGAUUUACGUGGUUCGGCUUUAAUGCCUACGUCCACGGGCAGAGGCGAAAAGAAAUUUCACUAUAACAAGAUGAAGAUUACAAGUGUUUUACACUCAAGACACAACCCGAGAACCUCACAACUCUCAACCCCUAUAGAAAACCCGAAAGCUAAAAUCCUAGCUUUCAAAGAACAAGCUUUGCUCUCUCUUGGUUUGGGAUGAUGAAUAUGGCUAAUGAACCUCUCUAUUUAUAAGAGAGUUCAAGGACAUAAUUGUCCAAAACUUUGGCAAAGAUUUGUGGUUGAAAAUGGACACCAACAACCAUCCACUAAUCCACUACCACCAACAACCCACUACCAACAACAACAAUCCACUACCAAUUUUAAGCCAUUUCUUAACACAUACACUUAUUCUAUCCGAGUGGAGCGGAAUCAUACGACUUUUUCACAAUCCAAGAGAAUUGAGUCUGUAAAUGACACCUUAGUAAUGAACUACAGUAAAGUUAAAUUCCAUAAUGACAUUGGUGGCAUUUAUAAGGAUAGG
rnacentral:lncRNA from 1 species